rnacentral:rRNA from 1 species
UACAGAGGGUGCGAGCGUUGUCCGGAAUCACUGGGCGUAAAGGGCGCGUAGGCGGCCCGGUAAGGUUGCGGUGAAAGCCCGGGGCUCAACCCUGAAAUGCCGGUGGAAACUGUCGAGCUAGAGUCCGGAAGAGGUGAGUGGAAUUCCUGGUGUAGCGGUGAAAUGCGCAGAUAUCAGGAGGAACACCAAUGGCGAAGGCAGCUCACUGGGACGGUACUGACGCUGAGACGCGAAAGCGUGGGGAGCGAACAGG